rnacentral:rRNA from 1 species
AUGUCUCAGACUAGCCAUGCACGUCUAGUACAAACUAAAUGAUGGUGAAACUGCAAAUGGCUCAUUACAACGGUUAUGAUGUACCCGGGAGUUCCGAUGGAUAUUUCCAGUAACACUAGAACUAAUACAUGUCCCUGCGUUUAUUAGUUUCGCACAGUCCGUCGCUGAGUCAUGGUAAACAGUUGAUCGACUCGACGUCCCGGAACAGUUUCCGCCCCAUCAGCUUCGAUGGUUGGGUAUUGGCCUACCAUUGCAACAACGGGUAACGAGGAAUUAGGGUUUGAUUUCGGGGAGGGAGCCUGAGAAACGGCUACCACAUCUACGGAUGGCAGCAGGCGCGCAAAUUACCCAAUGCAGACACUGUGAGGUAGUGACGAGAAAUAAUAAAGCGGGACUUCUGUUUCGCUAUUAUAAUGAGGAAUAACCAAAGGUCAUUCCGAUUAGCAACUGAUGGGAAAGUCUGGUGCCAGCAGCCGCGGUAAUACCAGCGUCAGUAGCAU